rnacentral:lncRNA from 1 species
GUUUGUACAUAUACACAUAAGUUUAUUUACAUAUACAUAGAUAUAUUGAGUUCGGAUUCCAAUGCUAAUUCAGUUCAGAUAUUGGUCUCGUCUGUUCUGGAAAGCGAAUGCUUAGAGUAAGGGAGAAAGGUAUUCAGAAUUGCACUCUAAACAUGCAUGUGCACAGAUCAAUAAGGCCGCGGUGAACAUACACACUCAUUCCUCGAGUGACGCAAUGAAAUACACAAAUCCUUAUCUUAUCAUCCUUAUCUUAUCGUUACUGCAGCUCCAUUGCCGUCUGGAGGUUCGUAGUAAUAACGCUGGACGCGAACAGAACAGGUAAGAGGCGAGAAUGUCCAUUCCGUUGUUCUGUUGUCAAGGAGAUAGAUUUUCUUAUUGCAUUCCGGUGAACCAGUUCCAUCAAUCCUUGUGAGAUUGUCGACGUUGACAGUGUUAGUGGCACAUCAACUGUGGUUAAUAGAUGCAGUAGUGGAAGAGCUCGUUACCUCUAGCACCAACAGCCAACGGAAUGACAUCCAAGGCAAAGAUAGCAAAACUUCGUGCUCUGGUGAAAGCAGGCGACGCCGAAGGGCUGCAGACCGCCCUCGGC